CUGGGCUGGUGAUAACAUGAUCACUUACUUAAUAAUAUUAUUAGCUCACCUACCCAAAGGGCCAAGUGAGCUUUUCUCAUCACUUUGCGUCCGUCGUCCGUGACGUCGUCGUCCGGCGUCGUCUGUUAACUUUUACAAAAAUCUUCUCCUCUGAAACUACUGGGUCAUAUUUAACCAAACUUGGCCACAAUCAUCAUUGGGGUAUCUAGUUUUGAAAAUGUGUCCGGUGACCCGGCCAACCAACCAAUAUGGUCGCCAUGGCUAAAAAUAGAACACAGGGGUAAAAUGUAGAUUUUGGCCUAUAUAUAUCUCUGAAACCAAAGCAUUUAGAGCAGAUCUGACAGGAGGUGAAAUUGUUUAUCAGGUCAACAUCUAUCUGCCCUGGAAUCUGGUCCUUGAUUCUUUUCUUCAUUUCAGUGGCUCUAUAUACACACUUACUUCUUUUUCUUUCCCUUUUUUAUUGAUCAAAUGUCUACUCUUGUAAAGGAAAGUAAAUGACUUCAUACAAAAUGUAGAUCUAUCUAUGACUGUACCUUUUGCUUUGAGAAUUACUUGAUUAUGAAGUUUGAUCAACGAAUCAGUAUUAAGGUGCCUCGGGUGUCUUCCUCCAUCUUGGAUUUUGAAGUAGCAGAUAGCAUUGGUGUAGAUCCUUGAUAAAAUGUCCAAAUUUUCAGAGUAGUAUGUAAUUUAUUUAAAAGACUUUUGAUGAAAAUAUA
rnacentral:lncRNA from 1 species